rnacentral:rRNA from 1 species
CGGACGGGUGAGUAAUGUCUGGGAAACUGCCUGAUGGAGGGGGAUAACUACUGGAAACGGUAGCUAAUACCGCAUAACGUCGCAAGACCAAAGAGGGGACCUUAGGGCCUCUUGCCAUCGGAUGUGCCCAGAUGGGAUUAGCUUGUUGGUGGGGUAACGGCUCACCAAGGCGACGAUCCCUAGCUGGUCUGAGAGGAUGACCAGCCACACUGGAACUGAGACACGGUCCAG